UACAGAGGGGGCAAGCGUUAUUCGGAAUUAUUGGGCGUAAAGGGCGCGUAGGCGGCCAUUCAAGUGACGGGUGAAAGCCCUCGGCUUAACCGAGGAGCUGCCUGUCAGACUGGAUGGCUUGAGACCGGGAGAGGUGAGUGGAAUUCCCAGUGUAGCGGUGAAAUGCGUAGAUAUUGGGAGGAACACCAGUGGCGAAGGCGGCUCACUGGACCGGAACUGACGCUGAGGCGCGAAAGCGUGGGGAGCAAACAGG
rnacentral:rRNA from 1 species